AUUGAACGCUGGCGGCAUGCUUUACACAUGCAAGUCGAACGGUAACAGGCCGCCAGGUGCUGACGAGUGGCGGACGGGUGAGUAAUGCAUCGGAACGUGCCCAGUCGUGGGGGAUAACUACUCGAAAGAGUAGCUAAUACCGCAUACGAUCUAUGGAUGUAAGCGGGGGACCGUAAGGCCUCGCGCGAUUGGAGCGGCCGAUGUCCGAUUAGGUAGUUGGUGGGGUAAAGGCUCACCAAGCCAACGAUCUGUAGCUGGUCUGAGAGGACGACCAGCCACACUGGGACUGAGACACGGCCCAGACUCCCACGGGAGGCAGCAGUGGGGAAUUUUGGACAAUGGGCGCAAGCCUGAUCCAGCAAUGCCGCGUGGAGGAAGAAGGCCUUCGGGUUGUAAACUGCUUUUGUACGGAACGAAACGGCUCUGGUUAAUACCCGGGGCUAAUGACGGUACCGUAAGAAUAAGCACCGGCUAACUACGUG
rnacentral:rRNA from 1 species